GAGACCUGAACCGAAAUAAAAUAAGCUGACUUGGUCAAUCAUUCCAUGAUGUCCCAAACACAGUCAGAACCAUGACAUGUACAAGGCAAACGAGUCACAAAGUCCAUAGUUAUCCGUUCUCACUCCCACUUGGGAAUGGACAACCUUUAAAGCAAUCCGCCAGGUCUAAUAUUCUAGGCCUUCACCUGCUAAUAACAUAGGCAAUGAAACACAAAAUCUACUAUAUCUCACCUUAU
rnacentral:lncRNA from 1 species